AAGAAGCUGACAUGAGCCCUUGUUUCCAGUAUGUGAGUCAUCAUUGCCACCAAUGGUCUGGGUCGUUGGCUGUGCACACACAUCCACAGACAGUACAACAACAGCCUCUAGUCCCUUGUUGCUGACCUUUGGGAAGCUGGGCAUGUAAGGCCAUACAUGAUCUACAGUGUACUUGUAGAGGUCAGAGGACAACUUGCAGGAGUCAUUUCUCUGCUUCCACAAUGUGAGUCCUGGGGAUCCAACUGAAGUCAUCAGAAGCAGUACUCGGGCUUCUAUUACACUUUAAUACGAUCUACAUAUAAGAACAGGGGAGAAAACAGUGAACUUUCCAUGCAGAACCAACUCCUGGAGAAGAACCAAG